UGAAUACGAGAUGCUACGGCGUCGAAGCAGUCUAUGUCAUACUUCCAAGAAAAGCUUGCACUGUCAUAAACAAAUAAUGCCUGUACCAUAACCGACACAGGUGGGUAGGUAGAGUAUACUAAGGGGCGCGAGAUAACUCUCUCUAAGGAACUCGGCAAAAUGACUCCGUAACUUCGGGAGAAGGAGUGCCUUAUUUAUAAGGUUGCAAUAACAAGACCCAAGCAACUGUUUAUCAAAAACACAGGUCUCCGCUAAGUCGUAAGACGAUGUAUGGGGGCUGACGCCUGCCCAGUGCCAGAAGGUUAAAGAAGUUGGUUAGCAUCCGCGAAGCUGAUAACUGAAGCCCUGGUGAACGGCGGCCGUAACAAUAACGGUCCUAAGGUAGCGAAAUUCCUUGUCGGGUAAGUUUCGACCCGCACGAAAGGCGUAAUGAUUUGGGUACUGUCUCGGAGAGGGGCUCGGUGAAAUAGACUUGUCUGUGAAGAUGCGGACUACCUGCACCAGGACAGAAAGACCCUAUGAAGCUUUACUGUAACUUGAGAUUGAAAUUGGACUUUACUUGCGCAGUAUAGGUGGGAGGCGUUGAUAAUAUUCUUGCGGGAAUAUUGGAGCCAUCAGUGAGAUACCACUCUUGUAAUGUUAGAUUUCUAACUUUGAAUCAUUAUCUGGUCAAAGAACAGUCUCAGGCGGGCAGUUUGACUGGGGCGGUCGCCUCCCAAACGGUAACGGAGGCGCACAAAGGUUUCCUCUGAACGGGUAGAAAUCGUAUCUAGAGUGUAAAGGCAUAAGGAAGCUUGACUGUGAGACCUACAAGUCGAGCAGGGACGAAAGUCGGUCUUAGUGAUCUGACGGUGCUGAGUGGAAAGGCCGUCACUCAACGGAUAAAAGUUACUCUAAGGAUAACAGGCUGAUCUCCCCCAAGAGUUCACAUCGACGGGGAGGUUUGGCACCUCGAUGUCGGCUCAUCGCAUCCUGGGGCGGUAGUACGUCCCAAGGGUUGGGCUGUUCGCCCAUGAAAGCGGUACGCGAGCUGGGUUCAGAACGUCGUGAGACAGUUCGGUCCAUAUCCGGUGUAGGCGUUAGAAUAUUGAGAGGAGCCUUCUUUAGUACGAGAGGACCGAGAAGGACAUACCUCUGGUGUACCAGUUAUCGUGCCAACGGUAAACGCUGGGUAGCUAUGUAUGGAGUGGAUAACCGCUGAAAGCAUCUAAGUGGGAAGCCCACCUCAAGAUAAGUAUUCUCGU
rnacentral:rRNA from 1 species